rnacentral:tRNA from 1 species
GCCAGUGUGGUCUAGUGGUUAGGGCAUCAGACUAGAAACUAGGACACCAUGAGUUCCAAUCCCGUCUUGGGCA